CACAUGCAAGUCGAGCGAGAAAAGGGUAGCAAUACCCUGAGUACAGCGGCGCACGGGUGAGUAACACGUGGGUAAUCUGCCCUGGAGUGGGGAAUAACACCGGGAAACCGGUGCUAAUACCGCAUACGAUCACGAUGUCUGCGGAUGUUGUGAUGAAAGGAGCAAUUCGCUCCAGGAGGAGCCCGCGGCUGAUUAGCUAGUUGGUGAGGUAACGGCUCACCAAGGCUACGAUCAGUAUCCGGUCUGAGAGGACGGUCGGACACACUGGAACUGAGACACGGUCCAGACUCCUACGGGAGGCAGCAGUGGGGAAUUUUCGGCAAUGGGGGAAACCCUGACCCAAGCAACGCCGCGUGGGUGAU
rnacentral:rRNA from 1 species